UGCGUCGCGGCGCGGCAGUGCGCGAGGUGCUCGAAGCGCAUCUCGAGGCCGCGGACGGCCGCUUUCGCGGGGUCCGUCAUCUCGUCACGUGG
rnacentral:tRNA from 1 species